GUUCCUCCAGAGUCAUUACUAUAUAUGAGACAAGUCUCUGCAGCUCUCCUCAAUGAGGAGCCUGACCCAAGGACUUCAUAGCAACAAAUCAUCCAGUUUCUACACAGAUGUUCCCAAAACAAGCCUGCUAAACCACUGUGUGCAAGAAACAGAUGCCAGCUCUGGUGCCAUCACUAUCUCCUAAGAAUGCAGUUUUACAAAGUUUCGACACUAAAGAAGAUAAACGACAGUGAAUGGUAUCAGGUGUCCUGCAGUAUUUUCUGCAGUGCCCAGGGGUUCCACUUGCUUUUAGUAUACUCAGCACAGAAAUGGGCUGUGCUAAGCAUUUUAUUGAAUUUGUAGACAAGGUGCUGGUGCAAUUAUCAUCUGUGUAAUUUGCCUUCUGGGACAAAAUUUAUUAGCCAAAUAUCCCCUCUUAAUUCUUUUUUAGUAAAGCUGAGUAGACAAAAAGCUCCUCAUUUCAAUGAAAAAAUAUUUUAAAGUAGUUAUCAAGAAAAAUAAUUAAUGAGAAUAUUUUUCAUUAUUCCUGUCAGAGAAAAAAAAUCAAAAUCAAAACAACAAAACAAAACCCCCCAGAAAUAUUAAAAAUGUAAAAAUAAUAAACUGGAAAACUGUAUCAGACUCAAUGAGAGACUGAAAUGUAUACAUC